rnacentral:rRNA from 1 species
UACAGAGGGGGCAAGCGUUGUUCGGAAUUACUGGGCGUAAAGGGCGCGUAGGCGGCCUGCUAAGUCGAACGUGAAAGCCCAGGGCUCAACCCUGGAAGUGCACUCGAAACUGCAAGGCUAGAGUACCGGAGAGGUUGGUGGAAUUCUCGGUGUAGAGGUGAAAUUCGUAGAUAUCGAGAGGAACACCGGUGGCGAAGGCGGCCAACUGGACGAGUACUGACGCUGAGACACGAAAGCGUGGGGAGCAAACAGG